UAAUCCGUCUGAAGCGCACACCACGUGACAUGUUCGCGCAUGCGCUUCUCCUACCUGGGGGGUCCUGCGCCUAGAAAGGGAGUUCCCAGCAGAUCUUUUCUGCGCUGGGGGCGCUCACCCGGAUUUUAUAAGUCCCGUGGUGCAAGAGACCAUUUUCCUCUGGCAGAAAUAUAGGAAGAUCGUGCCGCUGUCCUCGUGGACCCUCUCCACGCCCGUUUCUCAGUCAGCUGAGCUCUGGGGAGCACAUCGUCUUCCUUGAUCCUCCUGUCCAUCUUGUGGCCAGGACAGGCCCCUCUUCAACUUGUGCAGAGGGUCUUUCUCCCCGCGCCUCUCGUUUUUCUUCAGUUCCUCAGAUCUGCAUUUUGCAGGCCAAGCUUCUCUCCAGGGGGAGCACUCAGGACAACGUGAAAAUGGCUGUGAGACCCAGGAAAAUUAGAAAAAAGGUGGGAAUUAACUGAUAUUUCGUCAAAAGAGGGUGAAUCUUAAUGAAAAGUGUCCAGUGAAUUGAAUCGCCAUCUACAUGGUUGUUCACGGACGGAGCUGGAGAAUCCUACUUGAUACGCAGCCUUGUGUGCUGGAUCCACGCUCCACCCUCCUUUACUUGCCGUCUCCCCCAGCAGAUGGUUUGAGUAGAGAAAGUCAAGAGCAAUUAAUUGAGUCAAGAGGCCCCUGUGUUCUCUGGCUUCCUGGUUGAGUUUGGUCCUCCUCCUAACUUGAGAAUGAGGCAGCUGAGUCUGAGACCGCUUAGUUAAGAUGGUCAAGAUCCUACAGGCAGAAGCUGGGUUCGAACUCAAGCCGUGUGGCUCUGCGGCCCGCUCGGAGCGCCUGCACACUCCUAUCUGUGUACUUCUUCACAGUGCACACUCCACGCUUGCAGGACGUUUCACGCCCCCAGCUUCUGGCCCCGAACGGCAGCAGCGCGCUGUCUGACACAUCCGCCACCACUGAGAAAUCAGAAGCGCCCUCGUUCAUCUCCAAACGCUUCCCAGGUCAACAUCUCCAGUUGAGAAGGACCAGGGGAAAAAUGGUUAUAAAAAUACAUACGUACACACUCUCUCCCUCUAUCAUCUCUCUAUCUCACAACUUGUCUAAAAGUUUCCUACAUUUUUAUAAAUUUAUAACUUUAAGAACACACAGCAGCACAACUGAUAGGGAAAGAAAAGGAUCAGGUGAUGAACAUGAGGUAAUUUUGUAGGUGUGUUUCUAAUGCUC
ensembl:lncRNA